GUGAACAUUUAUUGAUCGCCACUCUAAUUUGCCUAGAGUUGUACACUUUGCCAAACAUCUGCUAUUUGCUGUAAGAGAGUCACUUCUGUUGAUAGGUAAUAGGUUAGUCCUUGUGCCAGAGUGGCAUGAUUAUUAAUAUAAGAAUUCAAAAUGUUCAUUGUCAAAGCAACUAGAGUUUCUACAUUGAUGAAUUUAAUGUCUCUGUCUAUGAAAGCUUUACGAACCAAAUGUCAGAAUCUGGAUGGAUGUCUACAUUGAUGUAGUUAGUGUCUCUAUCUAUAUAUGUUUUCUUCAUUUUGUACCCCUGAUUGAAAAUCAUGAGUAACUUCAAUUUCUUAUGUUGAGGGUUCGUG
rnacentral:misc_RNA from 1 species